CUUGAACCCAGGAGAUGGAGGUUGCAGUGACCCGAGAUAGUACCAACACACUCCAGCCUGGGCAGCAGAGCAAGACUCCAUCUCAAUAAAUAAAUAAAUAAAUAAAUAACAAAUGGGUAGGCUAGACAGAGAAUUUUUGUUGAAUAUUGCUAAGGACUUUCUCACAAUAGAACUUUUCUGAAAUGGAAUGGGCUACUUUUUGAAUACCUGAAGACUGCACAUUUUCAUGGUUACAGGAGAUGAUUAUAUACCAAAUUCUUUGGGGGGUCAUUACCUCAUUAUUUUUAUUUCCUAGACCAUAAGCUAAGGGUAUAUUUUCACAACUAAGACCUCCAAAUUUCAGGAGACUUACUUCUAUGAAACUGAAAAAAGAAAACAAACCUGAAACCACUAACUAUUCCUUUCUCUGUCCAGAUUUUGGAAUUACAGAUGCAAAGUAUAAUGGAAAAGAAAAUGAAAACCAAGAGAAAUAUUGCCAAGCAUUACAAGAAUAACCCAUCACUAAUAACUUUCCUUUGCAAAAACUGCAGUGUGCUAGCCUGUUCUGGGGAAGAUAUCCAUGUAAUUGAGAAAAUGCAUCACGUCAAUAUGACCCCAGAAUUCAAGUGAGUCCAGAAAGACCCAUUUUUACAUUUUUCCACAAGGGGUGAAGCAGGUUGCAUUGUAAAUGUUCUUUCAAAAUAGUGCAAAUGAGAUUCAUUUAUUUUACAACUUCCUCUCCUUUAGCCUCUCAAUUAUAUUCCUAUUUUAAAUGUCUAUGUUUUAAAUAAACUGCACUGGGGCAGGAAAAGAGAAGUGUAAGAACCAAAGCCAUUUUGAUCCAAGGCACGUAUUUUUGUAUGCUCAUCAUUUGUUCUCAAAUUUUUGAACAACUAAAGUCAAGUUAAUAUAACCAACAGACUUGAAAGAAGUUAUGAAAGGCAACAUGCCCCUUGAGAGGUAUGUGUAGAAGAGAAGCAUUGCCUUAGUUGCAAUAACAAGCCUGGGAAGCAGGAGGGAAGGAAGGAAUGCCGUGUAGAAUACCGCAGGCAUGCGGAUGAGCUCCAGGUCCAAUAACCCAUGAACUACACACUGGUAUUUUGUCAGUUCUCCAUGAUGAUUCUUUCCCUUUGAUACUUAUAGGGAACUUUACAUUGUAAGAGAAAACAAAGCACUGCAAAAGAAGUGUGCCGACUAUCAAAUAAAUGGUGAAAUCAUCUGCAAAUGUGGCCAGGCUUGGGGAACAAUGAUGGUGCACAAAGGCUUAGAUUUGCCUUGUCUCAAAAUAAGGAAUUUUGUAGUGGUUUUCAAAAAUAAUUCAACAAAGAAACAAUACAAAAAGUGGGUAGAAUUACCUAUCACAUUUCCCAAUCUUGACUAUUCAGAAUGCUGUUUAUUUAGUGAUGAGGAUUAGCACUUGAUUGAAGAUUCUUUUAAAAUACUAUCAGUUAAACAUUUAAUAUGAUUAUGAUUAAUGUAUUCAUUAUGCUACAGAACUGACAUAAGAAUCAAUAAAAUGAUUGUUUUACUCUGCA
rnacentral:lncRNA from 1 species